rnacentral:lncRNA from 1 species
UCUGUACUGGAAACCCAUUAUGAGAAUCUGCCUUCUAGGAAUCCACUUCUAAUACCACUUGUCUUUGUUUUGAUUUACCCAAAAUCAACCUUGAGAUGGGAAUUCAAGUAUCAGUGGUUUAUUGGAAGGUGAUAUGGAUGGUGACAUUGCAAUGAUCUUUCCUCUUGCUUACUUCAAUGAACUUGAAAAUAUGGUUGCAUUUUAAAAGGCCUAAUGGGAAGUCUGAGGAGCCUUGUCUGAAAAACCUAAAAGACCAUGGGGAGAAGUUUCCAUCUAUUGACAUUUGAGUCUCCCCUUGCACAGUCAGCACUGCAUAAAGUCAUCAAGUUUGGUAGGUCAGAAGUCCCAGUGUGCUCAGCUGGCCCUCUCCUUCAGGUUCAAGACUAAACCAAACUAUUGGCUGUGCUUCAUACCUUUCUGGAGGCCCUGAGGAGGAAUGUGCU